UACGUAGGUGGCAAGCGUUGUCCGGAUUUACUGGGCGUAAAGAGCGCGCAGGCGGUCGGCCAAGUCGAGUGUGAAAGCCCCCGGCUCAACUGGGGAGGGUCAUUCGAUACUGGUCGACUCGAAGGCAGGAGAGGGAAGCGGAAUUCCCGGUGUAGUGGUGAAAUGCGUAGAUAUCGGGAGGAACACCAGUGGCGAAGGCGGCUUCCUGGCCUGUUCUUGACGCUGAGGCGGCGAAAGCUAGGGAGCAAACGGG
rnacentral:rRNA from 1 species